rnacentral:misc_RNA from 1 species
GUGAAUCAUCAAAUUUUUGAACGCAAAUUGCACUCUCUGGUAUUCCGGAAAGUAUGCCUGUUUGAGGGUCAGUUAAAUAAAAAUCGGUGUUGUUGCUGCUUUUCGUGUUGAGGGGUGGGAAUUGAGUGGCUUUACUUCGGGUAAAGGACUUUAAAUUUUGGAAUGAUUUCCGAACGUAUUUAAAUUUCUUACGAAGGUUGGAGAUUUGGAAUACUUUAUUAGGUUGGGUAACCUU